GAUGAACGCUGGCGGCGUGCCUAAUACAUGCAAGUCGAGCGAACAGACGAGGAGCUUGCUCCUCUGACGUUAGCGGCGGACGGGUGAGUAACACGUGGAUAACCUACCUAUAAGACUGGGAUAACUUCGGGAAACCGGGGCUAAUACCGGAUAGGAGCUCCUGCUGCAUGGUGGGGGUUGGAAAGUUUCGGCGGUUGGGGAUGGACUCGCGGCUUAUCAGCUUGUUGGUGGGGUAGUGGCUUACCAAGGCUUUGACGGGUAGCCGGCCUGAGAGGGUGACCGGCCACAUUGGGACUGAGAUACGGCCCAGACUCCUACGGGAGGCAGCAGUGGGGAAUAUUGCACAAUGGGCGGAAGCCUGAUGCAGCAACGCCGCGUGCGGGAUGACGGCCUUCGGGUUGUAAACCGCUUUCGCCUGUGACGAAGCGUGAGUGACGGUAAUGGGUAAAGAAGCACCGGCUAACUACGUG
rnacentral:rRNA from 1 species